rnacentral:lncRNA from 1 species
AGAAGUGAGACCUUUGGGAGGAGCUCCCUCAGCUCUUUGGGUGCCUGCUUCAUCCUCAUUUAUGUUCAUGUGAUCUCAAAAUCCAAAAGGAAGUUGUGGGCUUGGCCACAGUUCACUGUGCUGUCCUGAACCAAGUUAAAACCAUCCUCCUGGUUUCCAAUUUUGCAGAAAGAAGAGACAGAUCCAUGGGGCUGCAGGAGCUCGGGCCUGGGGUCGCAGCAGGGGGAACAUGGGUAUAAAAGGCAUAGAAAUUAAAUCUGAGGCCUGGGAACCCCAUGGAGUCAAGGAGCAGUCUUGUCACUUCUUCCUGGCCUUGCACCUGGCACAAAGGUGGACUUAAUAAAUAUCUGUGCCAUGAAAGACAGCAGGUCCUGAGCUGGUGGGAGUGGGGGGACACUUUGAGAAAUCAGUAGAGCUUAAUUCUGCUAUCAAUUUUAUAAUUUUGUAAGUACUACAUUCAAUUACAUAUGGGGCAUGGCCAACCAAUUUUGGCAACUUAGGUUUUAUUGAUAAUAAUGGCCAUAAUUUAUUAAAAAUUACUUAUAAGUCUGGCAUUGUGCUAAGCACUUUACAUAUAUUAUUACAUUUAAUACCGACUACAAUGCUGUGUCAAAGCAAACCCCAUUGGUUACCUACCCUUCAGCCAUACCUAACUCUUACUUGGUAACUAAACCCUGAAUUUUUUUUUUUUUCUGAGCUGCAGUGUGCCUAGCUCCAGGAUAUGAAUUCUGGUUGGUCUAAGGCAAUAAUAACAACCCUAUUCCCCGAUUUCCCAGGUCCCUUGUUGUAAGACUUGCUGUGUGCCCUGCUUCUGGCUGAUAGGAUCUAAGGGGAAAUCCAGUACAGGGACUACUGAGAAGUCUUCUAUUUUCCUGUUAAGAGGAAAGAUGUAGCUGCCUUGAAUAUAAAUGUGAUAUUUGGAGCUAUAGCAGCCAAUUUGUAAGCCUCAGGCAAUAAGAAUGAGGGAAAGAAAGAAUCGGGGAGAUAUUAUUGAGGCACUGAACCAACGCCAUGAGCUCCCACUUCCAGAGCUCUUAAGUGAGGAAAACUAUUCCUGUUUGUUUAAGCCACUUGCCUCAGGUUUCUUUACUUGCAACUAAAUGAUGCAAACUGUAUGCUAUAGAAUACUAUCAUUUUCAUUUUUGAUUGAGAAUAUAAAUGUAAGUAACUGGCUCAAGGUCACACAGCUGGUAAAUUGUGCUAAAUUCAAAUCUAGUUCUAUUCAAAUUUAAAGUCUGUCUUCUCAAUGACUAUGCUAUGUUUAAACUAUCAGUGUUGUUAAUAUGAGUAUGUUUUUCAGCCCCUAGGAACUCUAAAGAAUAGAACAACACAACAGCUGAGAAGAGGAAAAGCAGGCUUCCCAGAGCCUUUAAUGUGCCUGGGGCCCAGGCCUCUCUGAGUCUGGGAUGCUGAUCUUCAGUACGAGGCUGGAAUGGCCCUGAAGAUUUAUUUGCUAUCAUGUCUGGGAGCUUCUCCAGCAGCUGAAGCAGACAUGGGCUGAGGGCAGGAAGGGAGCAAUUGCGAUUGAGGUUUUGAUGUACAGGCUCUGCUGGGUUGGUGAGGGAGCAUAGAGCAAUGCGGGGGAGCUAGUCUGGAGGCUGGUUUGAGACCCAGCCUUAACACUGACUUAGUGGGCGCUGGUCAUCCAGCUACAUCCCCGCCCAGAGUCAGGGAACAUGGCAACUCAGUGCAGGUGUGACAGGAGACAGAGACUGCCACUUGCUUGCAGCAUUCUUAUCACGUAAACAGAAAGAAGGGAGGAUUUGCCUGAAAACCAUACCCCAGCACGUGCAGGUAGUGACAGGAGGCUGUGGGCCUGCCUGAGGGCUCUGGGAAGCAGCUGGAUCCUGCAGUCCCAGCGUUUUCUACCAGGAAAUGAGGACAAGGACACUGUCACUCACCCCCAACUACGUCUAGGCACAGGAGAACAAAGAUGAUACCCGGGAGCUCUGACCCCGACCUGUGUCUAGGGACAGACUGCGGUGGAGGCAGAAAGGACUACUUGAGUGUAUCAGCUCUAAGGAUGAGAGCAGAGGCAGCAGAGCAGACAUAACUGAGCACCCCCGAGGUCGGGCGUGGUCCUCGAGUGGUUUUUCUGCUUCGUUGAUCAGAUUCUUUAAGGCUCCGAGUUCAUUAAACAGAAUCUCCAUUCCAUGUCCCUGAGUCCCUGUGUGGGCUUGGUUCCUACACCACAUGGCCGAAGCCCGCCAAGAUGGAUGACACGUCCUCCACAGGCAGGCCCCUUGCCACCCACCCUGUCCUGAGCGAUGUCUGCUGAGAUCACGGGAAUUCAUCUCUCGCACCAGGAAGCCUCGGCGGCACCGCCCUCCCUUUCUCCUUCACCAGACCCCUGCCUUGUGGGCCCUCCGGCCCUUCCCUUUGGGGCCCUCUGUUCCCUGCCCUGAGCUCCACGCCAGCUCUCCCAGUGCCUCUGGAGCAGACCCGCUCCACUCUGCCCUGCCCCUCACCGCUCCCCUCAAAGCUUACCUGUGCUGCCCUGAGAGUCCCUUUCCAGCCCAGAGCUAGCCGGUGUCCGUGCCCCUGGCUGUCCCUCAGCACCACCCUAUCCUGAAACUGACCCCUUUCCAAUCCUCCGCCUACUUCCUGACCCCGCCUCUGCUCCCUCAGGGUUCAGGGUUCCAAGUAGGAAGGGCCCGGCAGGAGGUCCUUUGGGAGAGAAAGAUGAGAGAGACUGGAAGGGGUCAGGCUAAAUGGGACUCUGGAUCCACCUCUGCAAAGACUGUUGUUACACACAGUUGUUUCCAACAUACUGUUGGAUUUGGGUUACAAGAAGGGUUAAACUACCUAAAAAUUUGUUUUUCACAUAUAGACGAGUGUGUACUUUCUUAAGUAGUUUUUCACAGUGCUUUUUAAAAAUAUAUACUGCUUAAAAAAUGAAAAGUCAGCAAUAAAUGAAGCAGAAAGAGUAACAGUAUAUUUAUAGAGCUUGUUUCAUAUGCUACCACUAUUAAAAUAUCCAGAUGUACCAUUAUGGGACCAAAAUCUACUCAGCGUAUAUUGAAGCGAAUGCUUCCCAGCUGUACCAUUUCACAUUCUUUGCACUGAAUUUUGAGUCAGAAAGCCCUGACAUUAGGUCUUCUGUGCAGCAUUUAGGACUAGUGCAAGCCAGCCUGAUCAUGCUGGUUAGGAACAGCAAUAUUGUUUUUUUAAAAAAAUUAUUGUUAAAAUAUCCCUUGUACCUAGAAAAGUUCAAAGUAGUACAAAUUGAGGUAAAUGAAAAACUAGUCUUUUAAACUUUGCUGCCUCGCCGACCAGUCUAACUCCCUAAAGGCAAGCACUUUGAACCAUUUCUAACUUUACUUCUUGUUUUGGUUAUUACCAGAAUUGUAGAUGAGUGACCUCCUACUUCCCGACCGUCAGAGAUGGUGAAUGUCAGUCAUCUGCACCCUCCUCCACAUUAUCCCAUGAGGAGACCUGCCUGUCAGCAAUGGAGACGUGUGCGGCAUUGUAUCUCAGGACCCAGAGCCAGGCUCGGCGUGCGGAGGGCAUUUCAUAAGGAAUUGUAGGAUAAACUAAACCAUAUACUCAAAUAUGUAUUUCUGGGUCAGCAGCCCUGACACAGUCAUCCCUGGAGAGACUGUGAUAAACUCUGACUCCCUGCUGUUCUGGAAGGAAUUUAGUCCUCUUGGUGACUGACUGGAGCAGGAACUGCCUUCAAGGAGGCCUCACAUGUGGAUCUGCCAUAGGGCAAGCACACCUGGAGAAUGACUUUGGGGGAGUGACCUUGGAUUUGCUCUGUCUGCAAUAAACAUUCUGGAACGUGUUGAAGUCAUAACAAGUUACUCACUCCUGGUGGGCUGGCAGGAAAGAAACCAGAGUGGGGAAUAGGGUUCAGUACAAAAAAAACACCAAAUAGAGCUUUUGAAUGGAAUGCUCACCUGAACCAGGUG